rnacentral:rRNA from 1 species
GGUUAAGCGACUAAGCGUACACGGUGGAUGCCUAGGCAAUCAGAGGCGAUGAAGGACGUGCUAAUCUGCGAUAAGCGUCGGUAAGGUGAUAUGAACCGUGAUAACCGACGAUUUCCGAAUGGGGAAACCCAGUGCAAUUCGUUGCACUAUCGUUUGAUGAAUACAUAGUCAAACGAAGCGAACCGGGGGAACUGAAACAUCUCAGUACCCCGAGGAAAAGAAAUCAACCGAGAUUCCCCUAGUAGCGGCGAGCGAACGGGGAGCAGCCCAGAGUCUUAAUCAGCAUUAGCAUCAGGAGAACGGUCUGGAAAGGCCGGCAGUAAAGGGUGAUAGCCCCGUAUCCGAAGGUGUUAGUGUUGUGAACUCGACGAGUAGGGCGGGACACGUGUUAUCCUGUCUGAAUAUGGGGGGACCAUCCUCCAAGGCUAAAUACUCCUGAUUGACCGAUAGUGAACCAGUACCGUGAGGGAAAGGCGAAAAGAACCCCGGCGAGGGGAGUGAAAUAGAACCUGAAACCGUGUACGUACAAGCAGUGGGAGCCCCACCACCAAAGCAUUUUCUGGUGUUGAGGACAACUUUGAAGUGACAUUCAACACGCGUUGGCGGAGCGUUUUUUGCGACGCCCAACACACAAAACAAGCCGUGAAUGUGCUUUGGGGUGGGGUGACUGCGUACCUUUUGUAUAAUGGGUCAGCGACUUAUAUUCUGUAGCAAGGUUAACCGUAUAGGGGAGCCGUAGGGAAACCGAGUCUUAACUGGGCGAAUAAGUUGCAGGGUAUAGACCCGAAACCCGGUGAUCUAGCCAUGGGCAGGUUGAAGGUUGGGUAACACUAACUGGAGGACCGAACCGACUAAUGUUGAAAAAUUAGCGGAUGACUUGUGGCUGGGGGUGAAAGGCCAAUCAAACCGGGAGAUAGCUGGUUCUCCCCGAAAGCUAUUUAGGUAGCGCCUCGUGAACUCAUCUUCGGGGGUAGAGCACUGUUUCGACUAGGGGGUCAUCCCGACUUACCAACUCGAUGCAAACUACGAAUACCGAAGAAUGUUAUCACGGGAGACACACGGCGGGUGCUAACGUUCGUCGUGAAGAGGGAAACAACCCAGACCGCCAGCUAAGGUCCCAAAGUCAUAGUUAAGUGGGAAACGAAGUGGGAAGGCUCAGACAGCCAGGAUGUUGGCUUAGAAGCAGCCAUCAUUUAAAGAAAGCGUAAUAGCUCACUGGUCGAGUCGGCCUGCGCGGAAGAUGUAACGGGGCUAAACUAUGCACCGAAGCUGCGGCAGCGA